rnacentral:lncRNA from 1 species
CAGACUGCUGUGCUAGCAAUCAGCGAGACUCCGUGGGGUAGGACCCUCUGAGCCAGGUGUGGGAUAUAAUCUCGUGGUGCGCCGUUUUUUAAGCCCGUCAGAAAAGCGCAGUAUUCGGGUGGGAGUGACCCGAGUUUCCAGGUGCUGUCCAUCACCCCUUUCUUUGAUUAAGAAAGGGAACUCCCUGACCCCUUGCGCUUCCCGAGUGAGGCAAUGCCUCGCCCUGCUUCGGCUCGCACACGGUGCGCGCACCCACUGACCUGCGCUCACUGACUGGCACUCCCUAGUGAGAUGAACCCGGUACCUCAGAUGGAAAUGCAGAAAUCACCCGUCUUCUGCGUCCUUCAGGCUGGGAGCUGUAGACCUGAGCCGUUCCUAUUCGGCCAUCUUGGCUCCUCAAAUCUAUAUUCAAAAAAAGGCUUUUACAUCAAAUAUUGAUAACGAUAAUAAUGAUUAACACAUGUGGAGCACUUACCAUCUCUCAAGCACUGCUCUAGAGCUUUCCAUGAAAGAAUCCCUCUAAUCUUCAGAACAAUCCUGUGAGAACUGGCUGAAGUUUACUUUUUGGUACUCCAGAGACCUAGCUUCUUCUUGCCUUCUUCCAAUGUGGUCUAUUUAAUCUCCUGUCGUGUGGGAAAUUAUGUUCAAAAUCUCCGUGAUCCUCUGUCCAUAGAGCUGCUGCCAAAUCAACACCUCGAUAUGUUUGUUCUUGGAGAGAAAUGAGCUAAGGAGGAAGACCGUCUAAAAAUACCACUGGACAAUUUGUACUCACUGGAGUGGUCUCUAUGGGGCAAAAGGUUUUUAGAGUGGCUCGUGGAUUUUCUGGCAAGUGGCAAACCAUACAAGAGCUACGUCAGGCCAGGAAGACAGGUACAGCCCUGUCGGUGUCAAAGAAGAACACCGGUAGCAGAAGAGCUAAGAGUGAAUGAAAAUGGAAUUAUCUUUACUUCUAGGACUUGUCUAUUGAGAAACAGCAGCGCUGGCAACCAUUUACUACCAACAAGAGGCAGUUGCAAGAGAAGAAUAUAAAAUAUGCUCUGCUCAACCCCACAAAACUCAGAGUGUCUCACAAUGGCCAAUUUAUUAUUUUUACCCUGUCCAGUGACAUGGAAGGAUGCAUCAGGGAGCUGCUAGCCUCUGCGAUGAAUAACUUAAGUCAGGCUGCAACAUGUGAAAUAAUUCAGCUGACCAGGAUUUAUAACACUAGCUAGAUUUUUUGCUUUCUUUGGGGUUCAUGAAGCAUGGUGUUGUGAGAUACCACAGGAGUCCCGGAGUAAAGUUACAUACCUAUUGCUCUUCCUUAUUUUUAUUUUUUGGUAUUUUCAUAUUAUUUUAUUGCCUAGUCCAAAUGUCUUCCUAAGCAGGGUCCAGCCUCCUAGGGGACACGUCUCUUCUGACUUUGAAAAUUAGAACCACAGACAGAUAAGACUUCUAAAUACUCUGUUUUUAUACCCUCUUCUUCACAUACCUAGUCCCAGGUGGUUUUGACUCCCUGAUGCUGUGUUGAUUGUGUUGGCCUUCAAUUUAUUUUGCUCAAUUAUUUAUGUGCAUCUGCCCAAAUAAGAGGUGUGGCAAUGCAGUGGCAUGCUUACAAUUCAGCCCAUCUCACUCCCUGGUUCAUAUGUCAGUUUGCAGGAUGGCUUGCUAGAUUUGCAAAGGGGUGUGGGGGACAGUUUCCAUCUGCUGCCAUUGCAAAACACAUCUUUCAGGGGCUACCUGGCAGGGCUGUUUUCUUUCCAGGUAAGGUUCAGGGACAUUUCCAUGCACUGAGUAGAGUCUGGAUCUUUGUUUUCCAGGUGCCUCAGAAGACUAGGACAUGGGGCAAUUGCAAAUCCUGGUCUUUGUACAUUACAUAGAACUUAGGGUAGGAAGGGACUUCAGAAGAUCAUCAGGUCAAAUUUCCCACUUCCUUGGAAUUCUCAUUUUUUAGAGGACCAAUGGUUGGCAACAUCCCUUUUUUGUGUUGUCAUUUGGAAAUUGUGUUAAAAGCCAUUCUUUCACAGUUGCUCUGUGGUCCUUCCAAUUUUCACUUUAACUGGGAAAUUUUAAUGAGAUCCUUCAAGCAAUUAAAAGAGUAGAAAAAAUACUCACAGAAGCAGAAUUUGGAGGGUAGCUAUGGCUUUUCUCUGUUGACAAACCCCCUUUUGACUUCUUGACAUCACUGAAUCAAGUCUUAGUGUCUUGAGAGGUUACUGCCUGAAUACAGGUUAAAUAUGUUAAUAUUCACUGAUUGGAGGAAAGUACCAUGAGCAAAUCUAAUGCAGGAUCCUGGAAUGCUGAGGGCAUUAGUGGCUCCAUAAAAUGUAAAUGCAUUCUUAAUUAUCUCAAGUCACUGCACGCCCAAGUAGCUCUUUUGUAAGAAAAACACAGCUUACUGAUAAUGAGCAUGAAAAUUACUAAGAGAUUGGUGGAGUAAAUCUCUUAAACCUCCUUUCUUUUCUUUUCUUUUUUUCUUCUCCAAAUUUUGAUGUGACUUCGCUAAUUUGAGUAUGUGUCUCUUUUUAGAUUCUACAGAUAACCUUAGGGCCCCACAAGGCAUUUUGGGUGAUUGAAAUAAUAGCAGUUUGUACCUUACGGGAACCUCUAAAGAUGAUGAUGAUUAUUAUUAUUAUCAUGACUGAUUUUAUUGAAUCUAUGAGGCUUAUGAGGUCUUAAGUUCAAGAUCAGCCUGGCCAACAUGGUGAAACCCUGUCUCUACUAAAAACACAAAAAUUAGCUGGGCAUGGUAGUGGGCCCCUGUAAUCCCAGCUACUCAGGAGGCUGAGGCGGGAGAAUCACUUGAUCCUGGGAGGUGGAGGUUGCAGUGAGCUGAGAUUGCACCAGCCUGGGUAAUGGCCUGGGCAACAGACAAAAAAAAAAAAAAAAAAAAAAAAAAAAAGAAAUUCAGGUUGUACCCACUAGUUGCAGAGUGAUUUUAUUUUUAUUUAUUUAUUUUGAGAUGGAGUCUUGCUCUGUCACCUAGGCUGGAGUGGAGUGGCAGGAUCUCGGCUCACUGCAACCUCCACCUCCCGGGUUCAAGCAAUUCUCCUGCCUCAGCCUCCUGAGUAGCUGGGAUUACAGGAGCCCACCACCACACCCAGCUAAUUUUUUGUAUUUUUAGUGGAGAUGGGGUUUCAUCAUGUUGUCCAGGCUGGUCUUGAAUUCUUGACCUCAGGUGAUCCACCCUCCUAGGCCUCCCAAAGUGC